AAUUCGUUGUAUAAUGAGUGUAUACUGCUGUAUACAAUAUGUAUAUAGCCCAUUUCUUGGGCUUUUGACCAUUUAUGAACUAAUUUCUAGCAGUGUUGGGUCUCCGGGACCUGUAACAGCUUUCGAAUAUAUAGGGGGCUAACUCGAUAAAUAGGGAUGUUGGGUUUCAACCCAACUCGAGAUGCAAGGAGUGAAGAAGAGGGUCCGAUGAACCCAAAUCGAGGUUAUGCAUAAAAAAUAAGAAUUAGUAACUAAUCAAAAUUGGACACUCGCUAAAGUAGCUAUGUAUGCUUAAUGAUGAAUAACUAAAUAAAACAUCUACAUAAACUUUAGUGCUCAAGGACGAUUUCUUUUUUUCAUUUUUUCUUUUUUACAUACUAGCUAAAUCCAUUCAAGGUAACCUCAUUAAAAUUAAACAAUAAAUUUUGAAUAAUUUCCUACUACAAACACAUCCACGCCAAUAGACCCAUAUUAAGCAAGUUUAGGCAUCACAAAAUGUAUUCUACUAAUCCAAUGAACAAAAGAGGGUAAAUGAGCUUGGACCAAAUUCUUUGAUUUACAGAUAAAGAGAACUUCAAGCAAUUUACCUUUGUAUAACAAGUUGUUGUCAGCAUUUAAUCACUAGAAUCAGAGAAGAACUAAGUUACAUUCAAGGGACCCGGUUAAACUUUGAACCUAAAAUUAUAUGUUCUGUAUAAGAGGGUCAUUGAUAUAGGAAAUCUACCAGUGAAGCUAUGUAUUCAUUGUGUGGCUGCGUAGAAUUUAAUGGAAACAAACAAGAAUCAAAUUUCAUGCAAAGAAUCAACACACAAUCAAAGUAAUAAUUUGCAGGAAAUAGUAAAUGCAGAAGGCAUAAAUUAGCUAGCAUUCAUGACUAAGAUCUGAAAAUUACAGCAGCUCAAAUUGCAAACUAGUUGCACCAAAAUAUGAACAUAGCAUAAUUUGAUCACAUAACCAUUUAAAUCGGUGAGGAUUUUAAAUAAACAAGUUAAGCUAAGUUAAAUCAAAACUUGAGACAACCAACUGACCUUCAAACUUAACAUAAUAAUCAAUAGCAAGAGAAUGUAUUUAUACAACAAGAGAGGGAGCAGUGAUCUAAGAGUGAUGCCAAAACAAGAGCUUAUUUUCAGAAUAAGUACUAGUUGGCUUAGGGUGACACUAACGCAAACCGACCAACAUAACAUUGACUGGAAAUUAAAGAGAGCAUGCAUACAAGAUCAAAACAUAAUAAGAACAAGAUAAACCACUGAAUAUACACCUCUCCUCAACAAUGCAUAUUUAAAUAGCUCAUGAGAACAAACAUAGGCAUUACUUGUCGAGAGACAGAAGUUGAUCGAUGUCACACAUUAAAUUAUCCUAAUCGUACGAACUGAUCUCUUUAGAGAGGUUCAACCUUCAUGAAUCGCCCUUUACGACAUUAAAUUCAUGUCAAUAUCGAAGCAAGAUGGCCAGAUAGAAUAAACGACCAAAUACACAAAAGCUUAGACGAGUGGACUGUUUAAAACACCUACAAACUUAAGACGACUAUCUCUAGAGAUUAAGGUUGGAAUGAUAUUUUUAAAAUAAGCAUGCUCACAGCCGGAAUGAGUUUAAACUAAGAGAAAAUAUCAAGCAAAUAGCCUAUAACAAAGUAGUGAGCCAGACAGAACAUUUAUGCAUUUUGUAAAUAAUCUGGUAAGCCAUAUGUAAACGAUAUCAAGGACUUAAUCGCUAAAUCCAGACAACCACAUACACAGCUCAUUUAUAUGGGCAAUCAACACCUAGUUAACAAGAUCGAAACAGGGGUGAAGACAGAUGGAAAUCCAAAGUAUCAAACUUUAAACAAGCAGUGGUGAAGCGAUUUUAACCCAAACAAAAGCUAGAACAAGUUUCUACCAUGAACAUGAGAUAAUUAAGAGAACACUGAAAGAUGAACCAAAUACUUAAAAGCGUGAUUCAUACUAGAUUUCCAAAUAGACAUCAUAUGAUCAGAAUACAAGGGGAACUAAGGUUACCUUUCUUAGGGCAACAAACUAGAAACGACGAGCUUU
rnacentral:lncRNA from 1 species